CCAAGAGACACACCUGGUUGACAAACCCACGGGACAAAGAGGUCGUUCCCCGGUGGCAGGGAACUUUUAUACCCCAGGGAAUGGGGACAGAGGGAGUGGUCCCCAUCAGCCAAUGGGAUACCAGUGAGGAGUGGCGAGGGGAGGGGUAACCUAGGGGAGAGACCACCAGGGGGUAGUGGGAUAGGUGAGGGAUAGGCCACGUGAUGGGGGAAAGGGGUAACAAAUAAACAACAUAAGCUAUACAGUGCAAUAUAAAACUAUUCUGUGCAAAUUCCCAAUCACCCAGUGCAAAGCAACAACUGAUUAAACUAUUUAGUGCAACACAACACUGAGUGCCAGGACAUACACCUGGGACAUGUUGAACACCUCAUCCCCCAGCACUUUUGGAUCCCGGCGCUGACUACACAUUGCUCUGCCAUACGUGCUCUGAAAUGCACAGAAAGGAGAGGAAACAGCAGAGGGAGCAGAGCAAGGCCUUCUCACUUCAGGGCUGGAUCCUGCAAACACGAGUUCCAGAGCGUCUCGCCCUGGCAGCCAGUGCUCACUUUUCAGAGGUUCAGAGUGGGUUUGAACAGGCUCCCUUCAGUUACUGGAAGGCCACAAAUUCGUAUCCCUGGAGCCUUCCCUUCUCCAGGCUGAACAUCCCCAGCUCUCCCAACCUGUCUCCAGAGCAGAGGGGCUCCAGCCCUCAGAGCAUCUCUGUGGCCUCCUCUGGACUCUCCCAGCAGCUCCAUGGCCUACAGAUGUUGGGGACCCCAGAGCUGGAGGCAGCUCUGCAGGUGGGAUCUCACUUGAACAGAGAAGAGGGGCAGAAUGCACACCCCCCCACCGAAUCUGCCCAAGAUGUGGGAUCAACUCAGGAUGUUUGAAUGAAUGUCUAUCUUUUUUUUUUUCUGAGAAUAAGUUUUGGUGAGUAUCUUCAGCUAUUACUUAAAGGUAUGUUAUGGAUUUACUAUGAUCAGCACUUUCUGGCUUUCUAACUUGGCUGAAAAGCUCGCACAAAGAAAACAAUCAAUUGGGAGUAAAUAAGUAUUGCCACACAUCCCAAAACAAAUUUAUGAUCUGGAUAGCCUUCAGACUUCUAAGUGAAGACCACAUGUAUUUUUUUUUUCCAAAUGUUUUAUUUUGGCAUGUGUUCCUGGAAGACCAGGGCUCCAUGGUGGGAUUAGGAGUUGACUAAACAAGACCUGUACUCACACUUAGGAGAUUGCCAACAUUUUUAAGGCUCUUUGAGAAAACACCAAACAAAUUAGUUUGAAAUUAAGUUGAAGAUACUUUACCAACAUUUUUUUCCCACCAGAGGCAAAAAUAUAUCACACAAGACUCUUGACCUUUUAUUGUUCAGUGAUAGAAAGGUGGGGAACUCAUUUGGUGUUCACUCCUCUGAGUGAACCUGCCUCUAGUCUACCAUACACUUUUAAUAUUAUUCCUAAAAAGAUUCCAGGUACAGAUCUAGAUACUGGAGGGAUUUCAGAAAUGCUUUUGUGCUGUGUGCCAAAAUGCUCAAAGCAGGGAGAGAUUGUGUCAUCAGUUUUCAGUCAAGCCCCUCUGUGCCUCUUUUUCUAAGUUGCCAAAAAAGUUACACAUAAAAUCAUGAGCAAAGACUUUCCAUACAGCUUAAAAAAUGGAAUUGCGCUUCACAAUGGCUGUAGAUGGUUUGGGGUGUUCUAAUGAAGGACCUGAUCCUGUCUGGCUUCUUAUGACAGUGGCAAGAGGAGGAAUAUAUUUUUACUUGGCUUAGCUUGCACAUUUGCUCUGUUUUGCACAUAAUUUGAUCAUCAUAUUUUACAAUUCCACUCCAAGCAGGAAAUCUACGUUAUGGAUCAGUGACUGCCUUAAUUUUUAUUGACAAAUCAUGAUCUUUAUUGGUGGAAUUAUGAGCUAGCUGGAUCUUACUGUCUUGGUGCAAUGAGGCCAAUAUAUUGCUUAGUUUGUGGUGUUUUAAAUUUAAUGUAACAAAGAACAAAGGCAACUUUCUUCAUGCUUUCCUCCCUCUCCCUUUCCCUCUCCCUCUCUCUUUUCUUCUUUUCUUUUUUCUUUCUCUUUUUUCCUCCACUCUUGUUCUUUUUCCUUCCUUUCUUCCUUUUCUGUUUUGCUUUUUCCAAAUUUCCAGAAUUCUCUGAAGUGCUGGUGAUUAUGCUAGUCUGAAAUGGGAAGGGCUUGUUCCAGAUCCCUGCAGAGCAGUGGUGUGGUAGGGACCUCACUGUCCAUCACCUUCAGAGGAAGGACAGCCAACUGAAUUAGACACCCACUUCCUUUAAUGCUGGAGAAGGGUGAAGCAAAUCGAACCUUUUGUGGGCAAGAUUUCAUGGUUGGGGUUGAAGGAGACCAGCCAUCAGCUGAAACACAGCAGCUUCCAACCAAAAUGCCAGUUCCGACCUCAGCUCCAGGGCUGAGCAUCUUCCCUCCCUCCACUGACUAUGGAACUUCUAAACCAUCUUAGACAAUUAUUCUAAGUGCCUUAAAUGAUCUGAUGUGAAUAACCACUGUUCCUUUGUCUCCACCCAGUUUCUGUUGGAAUCUAAGCAGGAAAGUCAAAGAGAAGAGUAUGUACAUGAGGUGAAAUCAUGUGCCUCACAAGAAAUUAUUUAGCAGUGAUAAAAUCCAGCAAGAUUUUCUGUUUCAUUUCCAAAAAGUUUAAA